AAAAGAAGAAACACAAGAUAGCCGACCCCUCCGAGGACCGCCCCUCCGACGCUGUUGGCGCCGUCGCCGACGACGAGGUCGACGGCGCAACUAUAGUCGAAGACGCCGACGCCUCGGAGGCCGGAGAGGACGUGUACACGAUCGGCGCGGCGAGGAAGAUGAAGAACGAGGAGCUAUUCCCUGUAGAGGUUAAGUAGCUCAGGUAUGAUCCGGCAUCGACCG
rnacentral:misc_RNA from 1 species